CACCCUCGUACCGCAUAAGUCCGCAACCUCGCACCUCGUACCGCAUAGUCCGCUCGGGGCGAAGCUACCGUGCGUUGGAUUAUGACUGAACGCCUCUAAGUCAGAAUCCGGGCUAGACCGACGCAUGCGCUCGUCGCCCGUUGCCGACCCGCAGUAGGGGCCAUUUGCCCCAAGGGCACGUGUCGUUGCUAAGCCGUCGUGGCGGGGUCACGGUGGCCGCUUGAAUUACAAUUCCGAUCGAGCGGCGAGCUGAAUCCUUUGCAGACGACUUAAAUACGCGACGGGGUAUUGUAAGGGGUAGAGUGGCCUUGCUGCCACGAUCCUCUGAGAUUCAGCCCUUUGUCGCUCCGAUUC
rnacentral:ncRNA from 1 species